GGGGAACGAUAACGGCGUCGAGCGGCGGACGGGUGAGUAAUGCCUAGGAAAUUGCCCUGAUGUGGGGGAUAACCAUUGGAAACGAUGGCUAAUACCGCAUGAUGCCUACGGGCCAAAGAGGGGGACCUUCGGGCCUCUCGCGUCAGGAUAUGCCUAGGUGGGAUUAGCUAGUUGGUGAGGUAAGGGCUCACCAAGGCGACGAUCCCUAGCUGGUCUGAGAGGAUGAUCAGCCACACUGGAACUGAGACACGGUCCAGACUCCUACGGGAGGCAGCAGUGGGGAAUAUUGCACAAUGGGCGCAAGCCUGAUGCAGCCAUGCCGCGUGUAUGAAGAAGGCCUUCGGGUUGUAAAGUACUUUCAGUCGUGAGGAAGGCGGCGUCGUUAAUAGCGGCGUUGUUUGACGUUAGCGACAGAAGAAGCACCGGCUAACUCCGUGCCAGCAGCCGCGGUAAUACGGAGGGUGCGAGCGUUAAUCGGAAUUACUGGGCGUAAAGCGCAUGCAGGUGGUUUGUUAAGUCAGAUGUGAAAGCCCGGGGCUCAACCUCGGAAUAGCAUUUGAAACUGGCAGACUAGAGUACUGUAGAGGGGGGUAGAAUUUC
rnacentral:rRNA from 1 species